AAUUUUGUAAUUUAAAUAUGGGUUUUUAUAUGGGUUACAAGUAUGUUUUAGGGGAUUAUGGUGUGGGGUUGUUUUGAUCUCCGGUAACGGUUGAUACUGGUAUUAUGGCUUUGCCUGCUACUAUGAAGGUUCUUGGACUUGUCCCAGGGAUAUACUAAUGAUAAUAUUCAUGGCGUUUUUGUAAUGAUAUUAUGAGUUUUCGAUCGAGAUAUUGCUGAGGUUUAGUAAAGCACGGGAAAUAGUUUCUUACGGAGAGCUUAUGAGAGACACAUUUGGAAAGUAUGCGAGGAUUUCAUUGCAGGCUUGUGUAUUUAGCAAUAGCCAUCACCGAGAUCUUUUCGAGGGAUUAGGAGGCUGCCAAAGAAGUUAGAUAAGCUAGUCGGUUAGCUGUUCACAAUGUGGGAGUGCUUAUCGUGUACAUGAUUAUCAUCGGUGAUAUAAUUUCUGGAACAUCUGCAAGUGGAACACAUCACUCUGGAUGGUUCGCUGUGCAUUGGUGGAAUGUGCGGUUCUUUGUGUUGCUUUUCACCACACUUGGUGUAUUUUCCCCACUAGCAUUCAUUAAGCGUGUGUAAGCGGGAAGCAACCUUUUUGCUUUAGCUUGUCUUUCAGAACCUUUGCUUGAAGUCCAGGUUUGAAACUUUUUUGAAGAUGUGGGGAAAUGACAUGGAUGAUUGCAAUCAAUCUGUCAGAAUUUUUCUUUGCGGCAAGAAUCUAGACAACAACAUAAUCACCGAUAUCCUUUUGAGCAGUUACAUCGCCUUUCUGUAACAACCGGAGGAUUAUAUCCAUUAACAACAUAAAUCCAUGAUUGAA